UACGGGAGGCAGCAGUGGGGAAUAUUGGGCAAUGGGGGAAACCCUGACCCAGCAACGCCGCGUGAGGGAAGAAGGUUUUCGGAUCGUAAACCUCCGUCCUUGGUGAAGAGGAAGAGACGGUAGCCAAGGAGGAAGCCCCGGCUAACUACGUGCCAGCAGCCGCGGUAAU
rnacentral:rRNA from 1 species